rnacentral:rRNA from 1 species
AUUGAACGCUGGCGGCAGGCCUAACACAUGCGAGUCGAGCGGAAGAAGGGAGCUUGCUCCUGGAUUCAGCGGCGGACGGGUGAGUAAUGCCUAGGAAUCUGCCUGGUAGUGGGGGAUAACGUCCGGAAACGGGCGCUAAUACCGCAUACGUCCUGAGGGAGAAAGUGGGGGAUCUUCGGACCUCACGCUCUCAGAUGAGCCUAGGCCGGAUUAGCUAGUUGGUGGGGUAAAGGGCUACCAAGGCGACGAUCCGUAACUGGUCGGAGAGGAUGGUCAGUCACACUGGAACUGAGACACGGUCCAGGCUCCUACGGGAGGCAGCAGUGGGGAAUAUUGGACAAUGGGCGAAAGCCUGAUCCAGCCAUGCCGCGUGUGUGAAGAAGGUCUUCGGAGUGUAAAGCACGUUAAGUUGGGAGGAAGGGCAGUAAGUUAAUACCUUGCUGUUUUGACGGUACCAACAGAAUAAGCACCGGCUAACUUCGUG